GAAAGGAUUCAAACCCCCCAGGGAGUUGGUCGGAGGGUUAAGGGAGAGACGGGCGUGACAAUCUGGAGGGAGAGUAAAAGCCAACUAGGGGAUAAGAGGCGGGACUUCCUGCUUUGUCCACCUUCCUAGUCUUUUGUUUCGUAGCAACAGAGGGUGGGAGGUUGUGAGUGGCACUUGAGCCUAGGUUAGAGUGGAAAACGCUGCAGAAAUGCUUACUGAGGCAGUCAGGACACUUCUUGCUUUAGUCCUGGGUCUGAGGCGUUAGUUUUGUAGUGGUCAGUGUGAGGAAGAGAUGGAGCUGGAGUGGGACCCACAUCUGGGGAUACCAGCUGGGAUGAAGCAUUUGACAACUCUUCUGUUGCAUCAAGUGUAUAAAGGAUGACCAGAAAGACUUGGCAUCAAGUGCAUGGUAAUUCUUGCAUGAAAUUAGCUGUUUCUUAGCAGAGCUCAAAACAGCAGCAUAUCAUAUAACAUGUAUCACUAUUCAUCCUGCUUCUACCUAGUCUUAUAGUCUGAAAUCAACUAUACUUGUUACACCAGAACAUACCCUUUUCAGAGGUGCUUUCCUUACAAGCACUUCAUAGAUUCUCAAAAUUGAUGAGCAAGAAGAGUAGACCCUACCAUGAUGGUUCCCUUUUUCAUCCCACCUCCAAGCCC
rnacentral:lncRNA from 1 species